AAUUGUUCGCAAUGGGCGCAAGCCUGACGACGCAACGCCGCGUGGAGGAUGAAGAUCUUCGGGUCGUAAACUCCUUUCGAUCGAGACGAACGGCCCUUGGGAUAACACCCUGAGGGAGUGACGGUACCGUAAGAAUAAGCACCGGCUAACUACGUGCCAGCAGCCGCGGUAAUACGGAGGGUGCAAGCGUUAAUCGGAAUUACUGGGCGUAAAGCGUGCGCAGGCGGUUUGUUAAGUCCGUUGUGAAAUCCCCGAGCUCAACUUGGGAAUUGCAAUGGAUACUGGCAAGCUGGAGUAUGGUAGAGGAAGGUGGAAUUCCCGGUGUAGCAGUGAAAUGCGUAGAGAUCGGGAGGAACACCAGUGGCGAAGGCGGCCUUCUGGACCAAUACUGACGCUCAUGCACGAAAGCGUGGGGAGCAAAC
rnacentral:rRNA from 1 species